rnacentral:lncRNA from 1 species
GAGCUCCAACAGGUGUUCUGACUGACUGCUGGCAUCUGUUAGACACCAGAAGCCCUUUGGCAGGAGAGGUGACUUGGGUCAGAUCCUGCUCCACUCGGACAGCCAUCUUGCCCUAGAAACACUGAGUAUCACACAACUCUCUGAUCUGGCCAAAAGUCGCAGGCCCAAGAGUAAAUCCAUUCAAAUGGAGGGAGAAUCCUGUGACAAAGGGUAUCGUUAUCCAAGGGCCUAGCUUGGAGCACCUGUGAAUUCACAGGGGAACAGCACACCCGGAAACUGCUCUUGCCAGAUGAGAACAAGACAGCCUUUGCUCUGAGUGCUGAUGAUGAGGGCUACCCCGCCGCCAUGGAGGAAGCCAGCCUGACACAAAGCAGACACACACGGAGGCAGAGCCGAGAGCUGCGGGGGAAAGGAUAGGGCCUGAGAAAUAAAUGUCCACUGUAUCCCAGAACUUUUCGGUUAUGGGGGAGCCGAUAAAUUACUAUCAUUGUUCCAUGCAGUUGGUUUAAGCUGCCUUUUCUGCCACUACCAGUCUCUUAAUGGGCGGAGAUGCCUUAAACGUGUGGAGAUUUUUCCUAUAAACCGGCUAUACCUCAAUGAGG